CAGGACAUGAGACUGCAGACAGACUGAAGCUUUUCUGAUCAGCAGCUGUGAUAACUGAGGAGAACUCUCCAUGGAGAAUUCCAGUCGUUCUCUCCUCACCGAGCACAACUUCUCCAAGAUCUACACCAUUCAGCCAGCGAGCUCAGGAAGCACAGCUGGACUGCAACCCUCAGCAACAAUCACAUCCAGACUUUCUUAGCACCUCUUACUGAAGUUCAGCCCCCUCAUCCAGAGCAUGGUGGUCUCUCUGUGGGAUAUUAUCUGCACAGAUWGUUUCUGCAGUCAUGGGAAAGUCAGACCACUCCAGCCCACUUCAGCCACAUUACCUGCCUCUCUGAACAGAACUUCCUGAAACACCUGACACUUUAUGGAGUCAUCUCAAUCACAGACCUAACUGUGCUGCUGCUGUGGCCGAUCCUUUAAAUAAUGUGGAGUGUGCAUGGCUCUGUUAACAGUUUUGACCAUAUUUUCAUUCACUUUACAGUUAUUAAGGGUUCAGCUGGGUUUGUUGCCGUUUUAAAUUGAAACACAGUGAAAACCUGAAAAACUAU